rnacentral:rRNA from 1 species
AAAAAUGACGGUACCUUAGGAGGAAGCCCCGGCUAACUACGUGCCAGCAGCCGCGGUAAUACGUAGGGGCAAGCGUUAUCCGGAAUCACUGGGCGUAAAGGGUGCGUAGGCGGCUUAGCAAGCCAGGGGUGAAAAGGCAUUGGCUCAAACCAAUGUAAAGCCUUUGGAAACUGUUAGGCUUGAGUGCAGGAGAGGUAAGUGGAAUUCCUAGUGUAGAGGUGAAAAUUCGUAGAUAUUAGGAGGAACACCAGUGGCGAAGGCGACUUACUGGACUGUAACUGACGCUGAUGCACGAAAGCGUGGGUAGCGAACAGGAUUAGAUACCCUGGUAG